CACGGUGGUUCGUCACCUAGGGGACCUGCUGGGGACAGCUGAGGACAGCCAGAGACACAGGGACUGAUUGCUGCUCACUGAGUUCCCCCUGAGCAACCACCACCUCCAAGCCUUGCAGGGAUGAAGGGGCUGCACCCCACGCUACUCCCUCUGGUGGCUCCCUGCCCAGAGGAUGCUCCUGGCCUGGCUCUCCCUGCUCCCACUCAGCUCCGCUCUGCCGUCUGCCCAUGAAGACCUGCCUCCGGGUCUCCAUGCCCAGGGCGAGCCUCUCUCUCUGUGGCAUCCCUGAUGGAGUCCAGCUCCAAGCUCCCCAGGGAGCCGGAUUAUUGAACCUUCGAACCCCAGUGGACUUGCUACAGAAGACAGGAGAGUGUGUCUCCGAAAUCCAGCUCCAGCCUCAGGCUGCCCUUCUCCCCAGCCUCACAGCGGGGCCCUGGGCUCCUGAUCUCACGCAGAUCAGAUCGGGGCCCUGUUGUCUUUGUUUCCAGCAGCAGGAAGAGACAAGGGCCAAAAGCCAAGGAGUGCCUGCGGUUGGAUUUGUCCCUGACAAGUUGUGCGAGAGUCCAUUUUACUCUGCCUGUAGCACAGUGCCACAGACUGCCCCACCUCAGGAGACACCCAAACCGGGUCCAAGCCACAGCCUCUGCCGUGACAAAGUAAGACAGACAGGUGGUGUGAACAGCAAGGAUUUGUCUGAAAGGAUGGUGUCACCCACUUGGUUUGAUCCCAGGCCUCUCUCCUGGGCCUGCAUCUUCUCCGUGCCCUCACAGGGCCAUGCCCCCCAAUCUUCUGGGGGCUCCAGCCACCUUGAAUCGGGCCCCCCUCCAAAGACCCAUCUUCGAGGACAGACACGCUGUGGGUCCCGGGCAGCCGUCGGGUCUUUGCAGGCGGUGAUGCUCCCAGCGGGGCAAAGCCAGAGUGGGAGAGGAGACAGGGGCCUGGUGCGGUCUGAGCUGGCGCAGGCAGGGGAGCCGACUGUUCUGGCAGAGCCCUUGCCGGGCACCACCCCCAGGUGCCUGCCCGCUGCCCCCUUGGUGCUGGCCAGGGCCAGGCGGAGUAGAGAAACCACAGCUGGCCUCUGCUGUGCCUGUUUCUCCACCUGCCAUUCAGGGAGGGCCCUGAGGAGCUGUGAGCUGGAAGGGUCUGAGCCCAGGAGGCCCUGUGACCUCUGGACCCCAGCCACACACGCGGGGGACACCUUUCUCAGGACCAGGGUGCCCCUCACCUGGGGCAGCAGAGAAAAACAUAGGCCCUGGGUCCAGUCUCAGACCAGCCAGGGCUCCUAG
rnacentral:lncRNA from 1 species